rnacentral:rRNA from 1 species
UGAGUAACACGUGGGUAACCUGCCCAUCANAAGGGGAUAACACUUGGAAACAGGUGCUAAUACCGUAUAACAAUCGAAACCGCAUGGUUUCGGUUUGAAAGGCGCUUUUGCGUCACUGAUGGAUGGACCCGCGGUGCAUUAGCUAGUUGGUGAGGUAACGGCUCACCAAGGCAACGAUGCAUAGCCGACCUGAGAGGGUGAUCGGCCACAUUGGGACUGAGACACGGCCCAAACUCCUACGGGAGGCAGCAUG